UACGAAGGGGGGCUAGCGUUGCUCGGAAUGACUGGGCGUAAAGGGCGCGUAGGCGGAUGGCACAGUCAGAUGUGAAAUUCCCGGGCUUAACCUGGGGGCUGCAUUUGAUACGUGUGAUCUAGAGUGAGGAAGAGGGUCGUGGAAUUCCCAGUGUAGAGGUGAAAUUCGUAGAUAUUGGGAAGAACACCGGUGGCGAAGGCGGCGACCUGGUCCUUGGACUGACCGCUGAGGCGCGAAAGCGUGGAGCGAACAGG
rnacentral:rRNA from 1 species